AACGAACGCUGGCGGCAGGCUUAACACAUGCAAGUCGAACGGGUGUAGCAAUACAUCAGUGGCAGACGGGUGAGUAACACGUGGGAACCUUCCUAGGGGUACGGAACAACUCAGGGAAACUUGAGCUAAUACCGUAUACGUCCUUGAGGAGAAAGAUUUAUCGCCCUUAGACGGGCCCGCGUCGGAUUAGCGAGUUGGUGGGUUAACGGCCAACCUAGGCGACGGUCAGUAGCUGAUCUUAGAGGAUGAUCAGCCACACUGGGACUGAGACACGGCCCAGACUCCUACGGGAGGCAGCAGUGGGGAAUCUUGGACAAUGGGCGCAAGCCUGAUCCAGCCAUGCCGCGUGAGUGAAGAAGGUCUUCGGAUUGUAAAGCUCUUUUGCCAGGGACGAUAAUGACGGUACCUGGAGAAUAAGCCCCGGCAAACUUCGUGCCAGCAGCCGCCGUAA
rnacentral:rRNA from 1 species